UGCGGCGGAUUAGGUAGUUGGUGGGGUAACGGCCUACCAAGCCGAUGAUCCGUAGGGGGCGUGAGAGCGUGGCCCCCCACACUGGCACUGAGACACGGGCCAGACUCCUACGGGAGGCAGCAGUGAGGAAUAUUGCACAAUGGGCGCAAGCCUGAUGCAGCAACGCCGCGUGAGGGACGAAGGCCUUCGGGUUGUAAACCUCUUUUCUGAGGGACGAGGAAGGACGGUACCUCAGGAAUAAGUCUCGGCUAACUACGUGCCAGCAGCCGCGGUAAAAUGUAGGAGGCGAGCGUUAUCCGGAUUUACUGGGCGUAAAGCGUACGCAGGUGGCUUCGUGAGUCGGACAUGAAAGCUCCCGGCUUAACUGGGAGAGGUUGUUCGAUACUGCGAGGCUUGAGGUUGGGAGAGGGACGUGGAAUUCCCGGUGUAGUGGUGGAAUGCGUAGAUAUCGGGAGGAACACCAGUGGCGCAAGCGGCGUCCUGGCCCACACCUGACGCUGAGGUACGAAAGCGUGGGUAGCAAACAGGAUUAGAUACCCUGGUAGUCCACGCUGUAAACGAUGUCAACUGGGUGUCGGUAGUUUUACACUAUCGGUGCCGAAGCUAACGCG
rnacentral:rRNA from 1 species